rnacentral:rRNA from 1 species
AACUCCACAUACGCAUCCUUUGCUGAGGAUACGGUUAACGGAGCGAAAGCGACGUUCAACCGCAAAAGAAGCAGAGGGGGCUUAGUGGUGGGGUGACUGCGUACCUUUUGUAUAAUGGGUCAGCGACUUAUAUUCUGUAGCAAGGUUAACCGAAUAGGGGAGCCGGAGGGAAACCGAGUCUUAACCGGGCGUUAAGUUGCAGGGUAUAGACCCGAAACCCGGUGAUCUAGCCAUGGGCAGGUUGAAGGUUGGGUAACACUAACUGGAGGACCGAACCGACUAAUGUUGAAAAAUUAGCGGAUGACCUGUGGCUGGGGGUGAAAGGCCAAUCAAACCGGGAGAUAGCUGGUUCUCCCCGAAAGCUAUUUAGGUAGCGCCUCGUGAAUUCAUCUCCGGGGGUAGAGCACUGUUUCGGCUAGGGGGCCAUCCCGGCUUACCAACCCGAUGCAAACUGCGAAUACCGGAGAAUGUUAUCACGGGAGACACACGGCGGGUGCUAACGUCCGUCGUGAAGAGGGAAACAACCCAGACCGCCAGCUAAGGUCCCAAAGUCAUGGUUAAGUGGGAAACGAUGUGGGAAGGCCCAGACAGCCAGGAUGUUGGCUUAGAAGCAGCCAUCAUUUAAAGAAAGCGUAAUAGCUCACUGGUCGAGUCGGCCUGCGCGGAAGAUGUAACGGGGCUAAACCAUGCACCGAAGCUGCGGCAGCGACGCUUAUGCGU